rnacentral:lncRNA from 1 species
AGACUAAUGACCGAAGCUUCAAGACUUUGACAUGUGUGAAAACAUGAAAUGGUAAGUCAAUACAAAGACAGCAUCUUCCUGGAAUUUGGUUUUGAGCUUGUUUUCAUUUCACCUUUCUCAGUAAUCUGGGUGUAGCUUAUUUUGACUCUUCCUUUGAUUAAACAAUUCAGACCCUUGGCUCUUAUUGUUCUUGCUGGUGUGGUAUGUUCACGGCUGAAAAGAUGGUCAGAAGGGGAAAGGAGGAAGUGAGAAGAAAGAAACAGGGAAAUGACAGAGUGUUGCUCAGUUACCCAGGCUGGAGUGCAAUGGCAUGAUCUUGGCUCACUGCAGCCUCCACCUCCUGGGUUCAAGCGGUUCUCGUGCCUCAGUCUCCCAAGUAGCUGGGAUUACAGGCUGGAGUGCGAUGGCAUGAUCUUGGCUCACGGCAAACUCCGCCUCCCUGGUUCAAGUGAUUCUCCUGCCUCAGCCUCCCGAGUAGCCGGGAUUACAGGCAUGUGCCACCAUGCCCCGUUGGCCAGGCUGGUCUCGAACACCUUACCUCAGGUGAUCCUCCCACCUUUGGGAUUACAGCAGGCUGAGGAAUUACCAAGGAGGCAGGAGGUGGAGCAAAACACACCAAGCCUGGUGCCAAUCAUUGACAAUAUUAUGGUUAGUACUUACUGAGGGCUGACUAUGGUUGAAACUGCCUUUGCAAAAUUAUGACUGAGACGGUGAAAGAGAUCUAACUUAACCAACGCUAGCUAUCUUGCCUCUAACCUCCAAGCUGUCCUUGUUCAUUCCUGGGCAUAGGCUGAACUAACUUUGGGAGAAAUUUAGUUUAUAGUUUGAAACAAAGAUGAUAACAGCCCUUUGCCAAAGCAGACCUCCUUCUUGUCUGGGGACUAGAUGGCCUUUGUAGGACUAACAUGAGCCACAAGAUUAGAAAUUAUGGAUAGGAGUCAUGCAGCUGGAGUCUCCAAGAUUCUGACCCUCCCUAAACUGCUCCCAAGAUCAAUGCUUGAGAUAUUUUGCAGACCCUGCAUGUGAUGGAUCAGCUGACACCAUCCAGAUCGGUAAACUGGUUCAUCUGAUCUUGUGCCCUCCACCCAGGAACUGACUCAGCGCAAGAAGACAGCUUCGACUCCUUGUGAUUUCAUCCCUAACCAAUCAGCACUCCUGGCUCACUGGCUUCCCCCAACCCACCAAAUUGUCCUUAAAAACUCUGCUCUCCAAACGCUGGGGGAGACUGAUUUGAGUAAUAAUAAAACCCUGGUCUCCUGCA